rnacentral:rRNA from 1 species
GACGAACGCUGGCGGCGUGCCUAAUACAUGCAAGUUGAGCGAUGAAGAUUGGUGCUUGCACCAAUUUGAAGAGCAGCGAACGGGUGAGUAACGCGUGGGGAAUCUGCCUUUGAGCGGGGGACAACAUUUGGAAACGAAUGCUAAUACCGCAUAACAACUUUAAACAUAAGUUUUAAGUUUGAAAGAUGCAAUUGCAUCACUCAAAGAUGAUCCCGCGUUGUAUUAGCUAGUUGGUGAGGUAAAGGCUCACCAAGGCGAUGAUACAUAGCCGACCUGAGAGGGUGAUCGGCCACAUUGGGACUGAGACACGGCCCAAUCUCCUACGGGAGGCAGCAGUAGGGAAUCUUCGGCAAUGGGCGAAAGUCUGACCGAGCAACGCCGCGUGAGUGAAGAAGGUUUUCGGAUCGUAAAACUCUGUUGGUAGAGAAGAACGUUGGUGAGAGUGGAAAGCUCAUCAAGUGACGGUAACUACCCAGAAAGGGACGGCUAACUACGUG